rfam:Canis lupus familiaris chromosome 36, whole genome shotgun sequence.
GUUUGCUUUGGUGUGACAUAUGCUAAAAUAUGAACAAUACAGAGUAGAUUAGCAUGGCUCCGGCAGUAGGAAGAUGUACACAUUUGUGGGGAAAAAAGCAAACAAAAGAUUU